rnacentral:pre_miRNA from 1 species
AGCCUUCUGUGUCCGUGCUGAGAUUUUUCUUCUAACACCAGACCACAAGGGCUGAUGGGACUCCCAAGAUAAGUGAAGCA